rnacentral:rRNA from 1 species
GAGUUUGAUCGUAGCUCAGAUUGAACGCUGGCGGCAUGCCUUACACAUGCAAGUCGAACGGCAGCAUGAUCUAGCUUGCUAGAUUGAUGGCGAGUGGCGGACGGGUGAGUAAUACAUCGGAACGUGCCCUGUAGUGGGGGAUAACUAGUCGAAAGAUUAGCUAAUACCGCAUACGACCUGAGGGUGAAAGUGGGGGACCGCAAGGCCUCAUGCUAUAGGAGCGGCCGAUGUCUGAUUAGCUAGUUGGUGGGGUAAAGGCCCGACCAAGGCGACGAUCAGUAGCUGGUCUGAGAGGACGAUCAGCCACACUGGGACUGAGACACGGCCCAGACUCCUACGGGAGGCAGCAGUGGGGAAUUUUGGACAAUGGGCGAAAGCCUGAUCCAGCAAUGCCGCGUGUGUGAAGAAGGCCUCGGUGU